rnacentral:rRNA from 1 species
AUUGAACGCUGGCGGCAUGCCUUACACAUGCAAGUCGAACGGCAGCACGGGUGCUUGCACCUGGUGGCGAGUGGCGAACGGGUGAGUAAUAUAUCGGAACGUACCUUAUUGUGGGGGAUAACGCAGCGAAAGCUGUGCUAAUACCGCAUAAUCCCUUAGGGGGAAAGCGGGGGACCGUAAGGCCUCGCGCAAUUAGAGCGGCCGAUACCUGAUUAGCUAGUUGGUGAGGUAAAGGCUCACCCAGGCGACGGUCAGUAGCUGGUCUGAGAGGACGAUCAGCCACGCUGGGGCUGGGACACGGCCCAGACUCCUACGGGAGGCAGCAGUGAGGAAUUUUGGACGAUGGGGGCAACCCUGAUCCAGCAAUGCCGCGUGAGUGAAGAAGGCCUUCGGGUUGUAAAGCUCUUUUGUCAGGGAAGAAACAGCAGCUCUAACACAGUAUGCGAAUGACGGUACCUGAAGAAUAAGCACCGGCUAACUACGUGCCAGCCGCCGCCGUAA